GGAAACAAAUGAUUUUAGCCUUCAUGCAAUAACAAGUAUUUCCUUUAUGAACAUUAUGUGUUGCUUUCUAGAAAAUUCUGUCACUGAUGUUCUGCUUUGUCUCUUUCUCUGCUGGAGUUUGUGUUCAUUUGAGUGUGACGGAGGUUUUUGUACGACGAUUUCACUAGAAUGAAGCACUGUGGUACACUUUUGGUGGAGGAACUGAACUGGUGAUCAGAACUGGUCCCGCAGUGAAGCCCUCCGUGUCUCUGCUGCCGCCCUCUUCUCUGCAGAUCUCUGGAGACUCAGCCGCACUGCUCUGCCUGCUCAGCUCUUACUCUCCACAGGGGGCGCAGGUGAGCUGGACGCUGGACGGGUCAGAGGUCACCGAGGGGGUUCAGACCAGCGAAGAGAGCGAGCGGGACAGACGCUACAGCCGCAGCAGCGUCCUGAGCCUCAGCAAAGCACGCUGGGAAGGUGCAGAGCGCUUCGCCUGUAAAGUAACACAUGACGGAGCUGAUCAAGAGGCCUCGUUCCUCAAGAGCUCCUGCUGAUGUUUCUCCAGUGAAGAGCAGCAGGAUUCACAGCAGUCACGUGAUUUACAGCUCAAUACUGAAACAGUCUUUCAAUGUGCUGCCAUUGAUGUUCAUUCAAUAAAGCUUCUGAACGCCUUA